GAUGAACGCUAGCGGCAGGCCUAAUACAUGCAAGCUGAACAGUAAAUGUUGUAGCAAUACAAUAUGAGAGUAGCGUAAGGGUGCGUAACACGUAUGCAAUCUACCCGCAACAGGAGGAUAGCUCCCCGAAAGGGGAAUUAAUACUCCAUAAGAUCACGAGAGGGCAUCUGAUUGUGAUUAAACUCCAAGGGGUUGCGGAUGAGCAUGCGCUGAUUAGUUAGUUGGUGAGGUAACGGCUCACCAAGACGAUGAUCAGUAGGGGAACUGAGAGGUUGAUCCCCCACACUGGCACUGAGAUACGGGCCAGACUCCUACGGGAGGCAGCAGUAGGGAAUAUUGGUCAAUGGGUGAGAGCCUGAACCAGCCAUGCCGCGUGCAGG
rnacentral:rRNA from 1 species